UCGCCUUAGGCUCAGUAACACGUCGGUAACUGCCCUAAGGUCAGGGAUAACCUCGCGAAAGUGAGGGUAAUACUGAUAGGGAAUCUGCCUGGAAAGGGCUUUUCCUUAAACUCGUGCCUUAGGAUGGGCCGGGCGGCGGAUUAGGCUGUGGGCGGUGUAACGGACCACCAAACCAAAGAUCCGUACGGGCCAUGAGAGUGGUAGCCCGGAGAGGGACACUGAGAUACUGGUCCCAGCCCUACGGGGUGCAGCAGGCGCGAGAACUUUCCAAUGCACGCAAGUGUGAGAAGGGAAUUCCGAGUGCUCAAGCAUUGCUUGGGCUUUUGUCAAGUGUAAAUAGCUUGGCGAAUAAGGGGUGGGUAAGACUGGUGCCAGCCGCCGCGGUAACCCCAGCGCCCCGAGUGGGAAUCACGCUUAUUGGGUCUAAAGCGUUCGUAGCAGGCUUUGUAAAUCCCUUGUGAAAUUGUCCGGCUUAACCGGUCAGCGUGCAGGGGACACUGCAGGGCUCGAGAUCGGGAGAGGUUAGAAGUAUUCCUUGGGUACCGGUAAAAUGGGUUAAUCCAGGGAGGACUACCAAUGGCGAAGGCAUCUGACCAGAACGAUUCUGACUGUGAGGAACGAAAGCUAGGGGAGCAAAACGGAUUAGAUUCAUCUUUUGCUAAAAGCUGAACCAAAAGCAUGCAAUGUGGGAAUUUCACUUCGUGAAAUCCCACGGAACGAUUUAUCACUUUUGCCAAUAAAAAAUUUACUGUGAGAAAAUCGAAAUGCUUUUUGGUGCUAUGAGUGAAAGAUGCUAAUUACCCGGGUAGUCCUAGCCGUAAACGCUGUGAGCAAGGUAUUGCGUAUCCCUCGAGGA
rnacentral:rRNA from 1 species